UGGGGCUCUUUGAGCCCAUUUAUUGUGUCAACUUUAUUUUAUAAUCCUAUUGGACCGGGUCGGAUCGUUGGAUUAACCCAUCGGGUCAUUUAAUAUCUAUUACUUUGACUUGUAAUGAUGAUAUAGUAUGACAGUUGACCAAGAUAUCUGCCAUGCAUUAAUGUGGAUGGGAUUAUAGUCGGCCGGCUGUGCAAACAGUG
rnacentral:lncRNA from 1 species